rnacentral:sRNA from 1 species
GACAGAACUGAAGAGGACCUCCAACAGUUAUGGGGUCUAGUUCCCCGCAAGACUUCAGCAAUUCUAAACCACCUCACACAUAUUACUGUCUGAUCCAAGAUUUAGGCUGCUUCAAGUUGAAAGAGUCAAAACACACUUAACGAUGCUUACAUUGGGAAGUUCUUUCUUGAGACCAACUUAAGCUAACCAGCAAAUGAUGUGAAGGUGCUGCACAAACAGUUGGCAGGGUGUGAGCUGGAACAAAUGGAUGUUCCCAUUGGCACUGGUCUGGACGACAUCCUUGAGACGAUCAGAAUUCAGUGGGAGAGAGAUGUUGAAAAGAACCGGGUGGAGGCAGGAGCCCUGCUCCAAGCUAAGCAACAGGCGGAGGUGGCCCACAUGUCCCAGACCCAGGAGGAGAAGCUGGCAGCUGCCCUCAGGGUGGAGUUACACAACACUUCGUGCCAAGUCCAGAGCCUCCAGGCUGAGACAGAAUCCUUACGUGCCCUGAAACGAGGCCUGGAGAACACCUUGCACGAUGCCAAGCACUGGCAUGACAUGGAGCUCCAGAACCUGGGCGCUGUGGUCGGCCGGCUGGAGGCGGAGCUCAGCGAAAUCCGCGCGGAGGCGGAGCAGCAGCAACAGGAGCGCGCACAUCUGCUGGCCCGCAAGUGCCAGCUG